rnacentral:rRNA from 1 species
GCUGGCGGCAUGCCUAACACAUGCAAGUCGAACGGUAACGCGGAGAGCUUGCUCUCUGGCGACGAGUGGCGGACGGGUGAGUAACACUUAGGAAUCUGCCCAGUAGUGGGGGACAACAUUCGGAAACGGAUGCUAAUACCGCAUACGCACUACGGUGGAAAGUGGGGGAUCUUCGGACCUCACGCUAUUGGAUGAGCCUAAGUCGGAUUAUCUUGUUGGUAGGGUAAUGGCCUACCAAGGCGACGAUCCGUAGCUGGUCUGAGAGGACGAUCAGCCACACUGGGACUGAGACACGGCCCAGACUCCUACGGGAGGCAGCAGUGGGGAAUAUUGGACAAUGGGCGCAAGCCUGAUCCAGCAAUGCCGCGUGUGUGAAGAAGGCCUGCGGGUUGUAAAGCACUUUCAGUAGAGAAGAAAAGCCUAGGGUUAAUACCCCUGAGUCUUGACGUAACCUACAGAAGAAGCACCGGCUAACUCCGUGCCAGCAGCCGCGGUAAUACGGAGGGUGCGAGCGUUAAUCGGAAUUACUGGGCGUAAAGCGCGCGUAGGCGGCUUUGUAAGUCGGAUGUGAAAGCCCCGGGCUUAACCUGGGAAUUGCAUUCGAUACUGCUUA